rnacentral:rRNA from 1 species
GACAGAGGGGGCAAGCGUUGUCCGGACUGACUGGGCGUAAAGCGCGCGCAGGCGGCGCGGGGCGUCGGUGCUGAAAUCGGGCCGCUUAACGGCCCGCGGCGUGCCGAUACGCCCGCACUGGAGGAUGGGCGAGGGUGGUGGAAUUGCCGGUGUAGUGGUGAAAUGCGUAGAGAUCGGCAGGAACACCCGUGGCGCAAGCGGCCACCUAGCCCACACCUGACGCUGAGGCGCGACAGCGUGGGGAGCGAACUGG